ACACAUGCAAGUCGAGGGGAAACGACAUCGAAAGCUUGCUUUUGAUGGGCGUCGACCGGCGCACGGGUGAGUAACGCGUAUCCAACCUGCCCACCACUUGGGGAUAACCUUGCGAAAGUAAGACUAAUACCCAAUGAUAUCUCUAGAAGACAUCUGAAGGAGAUUAAAGAUUUAUCGGUGAUGGAUGGGGAUGCGUCUGAUUAGCUUGUUGGCGGGGUAACGGCCCACCAAGGCUACGAUCAGUAGGGGUUCUGAGAGGAAGGUCCCCCACAUUGGAACUGAGACACGGUCCAAACUCCUACGGGAGGCAGCAGUGAGGAAUAUUGGUCAAUGGACGAGAGUCUGAACCAGCCAAGUAGCGUGCAGGAUGACGGCCCUAUGGGUUGUAAACUGCUUUUAUAAGGGAAUAAAGUGAGUCUCGUGAGACUUUUUGCAUGUACCUUAUGAAUAAGGACCGGCUAAUUCCGUGCCAGCAGCCGCGGUAAUACGGAAGGUCCGGGCGUUAUCCGGAUUUAUUGGGUUUAAAGGGAGCGUAGGCCGGAGAUUAAGCGUGUUGUGAAAUGUAGAUGCUCAACAUCUGCACUGCAGCGCGAACUGGUUUCCUUGAGUACGCACAAAGUGGGCGGAAUUCGUGGUGUAGCGGUGAAAUGCUUAGAUAUCACGAAGAACUCCGAUUGCGAAGGCAGCUCACUGGAGCGCAACUGACGCUGAAGCUCGAAAGUGCGGGUAUCGAACAGGAUUAGAUACCCUGGUAGUCCGCACGGUAAACGAUGGAUGCCCGCUGUUGGUCUGAAUAGGUCAGCGGCCAAGCGAAAGCAUUAAGCAUCCCACCUGGGGAGUACGCCGGCAACGGUGAAACUCAAAGGAAUUGACGGGGGCCCGCACAAGCGGAGGAACAUGUGGUUUAAUUCGAUGAU
rnacentral:rRNA from 1 species